rnacentral:lncRNA from 10 species
CCUAAGAGCUCCUUGCUUAGGUGGAGAGGGAGACAGACAACUGCAUGGAAAGGCGUGAUGAGAUGAAAGCCCAUAGCACGGGAGCUGAGCCCAGGCACCAGCGCGGAGUGCAGGUGGGAGAGACGGGACCCGAGCUCAUAUUCCAGUUAGCUAUUUACCUGCCAGUACUAUAUUAUCUUAUCCCAUGCCCCAAGUGACUGUGGCAGGCACCCUUUUCACAGGGGGCAGGAAGUAUGACCCAGCAUCAGCCAAUCUGAGUCAUUGACAAGUAGGACUGGACUCUGAACACUGACAUGAAAAUAGGGCCAAGGCCCACAAACCGGCCAGCAAUCCAGGCCUUCCCACCUCCGUCAUUGAGAGGCAAUUUCCCAAGGCAGGACCUUGCCACGUGGCCCACUGUAUGUUUCCUAGCUACUGGACAGCUGGCUCUAUAGACUCUUCCGUGUACAUAAAUUCAGUCAUUCUUUUCUCAAAACACAGAGUAAACCUCUGGUUUGAAAGAGAGACUCAAGCCUUGGACACACAAAUAUCCUGCAAUCUACAAGUCAAACGGGAGUGGAAGCUUUCAUUUCUUAGAGGCUAGAACCGGGAAUAACAGUACCCCCAGCAGACUGACCAUGAAGGGUUCUGUCUGUGUGUGCACAACUUCCCAGGCCUGAAAUGUGUGCAGCAAGGAUGUCCUCAAGGGGCUCUUGUGCACGUUGCCCUCUACCCAUGGUCCCCACAGCGGGACCAGCUCCACACACAGGGAAGAAUGGAAAGGACACCCAGAGCCAACCUGGCCCUGGGACCUCCCCUCCUGGCUUUCACGGCUCCUCAGAUUGGGUCAGUCACACCGAAAGGACUUUCUGGAAGGAGCGCACCAGAAUUUCUGUUCUGGGAAGAUGGUGGAAGGCAGAGCUGAGUUCAUUGCUUAUGGAGGGGAGAGAAUAGCCCCUGCACAGAGCCUCCAUCGCGGCUGCCAGGGGAAGUGGAGAGGCUAGGAUCUCACUGAGAAUUUCAAGAUUGGUUUAAGGAGGGCCUUUCAAUGCAGGGGCUUGCUUGGGAUUGGGGGAGAUAAUGAUACAGUAGUUUCAGGUUGGUGGCAACAGCUAGGCGAGG